CAGACAGCCCUGAAAAAACAAUUUUUUUGGAAUGAGGAAGAUUGGCCCUGAGCCAACAUCCAUUGCCAUUCUUCUUCUUUCUGCUUGAGGAAGAUUCACCCUGAACUAACAUCUGUGUAAUCUCCCUCUAUUUUGUGUGUAGGAUGCCACCACAGCAUGGCUUGGCAAGCAGUGUGUAGGUAUGCACCUGGAAUCCAAACCCGUGAACCCUGGACCAACAAAGUGGGGCACAGGAACUCAACCACUGCACCAGGAGGCUGGCCGCCCUGAAAAGUUUUUUAACAGGUUCUUCCAGAGCCAGCUUUUAAGGCGUGUUUACUGAAGACUCAGGUAUGCUGAUUGUUUAUUAAAAGAACUAUUGACCGCAAGUUACACAAAUUAGACUUCCUAAAUAUAGAUAUCUCUUCGAAGCGAAAUUCAUUAGUCUUUUUGUCACAGAAGCAAAAGUGAAUCAUCUUUCUUUGCAGAUUUAAUUUUCAGUUACCCAAAAAUAUAAUAUUUGAGCACUAGAACUAUUCCUGAGUGGUCAGACCUUUUUUUAAAAAUAAUUUUGGAGACUGGGGGCCCAGUGAGUGUGAGAGAAGAUAAAUGGAUCUUUGGCAACCAACGUUAGCCCUUGUGGUAGAGGAUACAAUUUUCCAAUAUGAACAUGAUUCUAAAAGUAGCUAUGGGCAAACUGUGGCUUUGUGGUAAAUUAAAAUACCUCCUAUUAAAGACAAUCAAGUUUCAUAUAUAUUUAGCUUUUUUGGUGGGACUUAAACCCAAGUCUGUUGGAUGAGACUGUUAAUCAAACUCAGUUCUGUUUUGGUUGAAGGAAAGCUGUCAAAGAGAUAGUAAGUCCAAAGAAAUAACAUGAGUUCACAUUUAUUUUUAAUUUUCAAUUUCUCUACACAGUAGGGUCUUAUUCUUGCGGCAAAAAAGCACACUUUAUAAAUGAAGCAAUUCACAGAACAGCUCCAUGAGACAGGUUAUGUUGACAGAAAGAUGGGUUGAGGAGGGGUGGAGAAUGUCCCUCUGCACUUGAAAUUCAGUGUGUGUUAAUUUUGGAGAGAAAUUAUUUAUGUUACCCCUGCAAAUGUUUAACUUAUAAAAGCCAUGCUGUGGAAAGGAGAAAGGCUGAUGGAUAAGGCUUAUCCAGCAAAAAUAUCUGGUUCCAAAGUUUAUAAUAAGCUCUUGUUUUGAUAAAAGAACAAAAAUACAUAUUUUUGGCCUGUGCGUGGUAUUUUAAAAUACCCG
rnacentral:lncRNA from 1 species